rnacentral:piRNA from 1 species
UAGGAACUAUUGGUGUUCUUUAGACGACCA